UUGGUGCUUGCAUCAUGAUUUACAUUUGAGUGAGUGGCGAACUGGUGAGUAACACGUGGGAAACCUGCCCAGAAGCGGGGGAUAACACCUGGAAACAGAUGCUAAUACCGCAUAACAACUUGGACCGCAUGGUCCGAGUUUGAAAGAUGGCUUCGGCUAUCACUUUUGGAUGGCCCCGCGGCGUAUUAGCUAGAUGGUGGGGUAACGGCUCACCAUGGCAAUGAUACGUAGCCGACCUGAGAGGGUAAUCGGCCACAUUGGGACUGAGACACGGCCCAAACUCCUACGGGAGGCAGCAGUAGGGAAUCUUCCACAAUGGACGAAAGUCUGAUGGAGCAACGCCGCGUGAGUGAAGAAGGGUUUCGGCUCGUAAAACUCUGUUGUUAAAGAAGAACAUAUCUGAGAGUAACUGUUCAGGUAUUGACGGUAUUUAACCAGAAAGCCACGGCUAACUACGUGCCAGCAGCCGCGGUAAUACGUAGGUGGCAAGCGUUGUCCGGAUUUAUUGGGCGUAAAGCGAGCGCAGGCGGUUUUUUAAGUCUGAUGUGAAAGCCUUCGGCUCAACCGAAGAAGUGCAUCGGAAACUGGGAAACUUGAGUGCAGAAGAGGACAGUGGAACUCCAUGUGUAGCGGUGAAAUGCGUAGAUAUAUGGAAAAACACCAGUGGCGAAGGCGGCUGUCUGGUCUGUUACUGACGCUGAGGCUCAAAAUUUGGGGAACAAACAGGAAUAAAACCCGGGUAUCCACCCC
rnacentral:rRNA from 1 species